rfam:Salmonella enterica subsp. enterica serovar Enteritidis str. LA5, WGS project CAGR02000000 data, contig: Scaffold28-Contig1
AGUUAUUCACGUAGGGUACAGAGGUAAGAUGUUCUAUCUUUCAGACCUUUUACUUCACGUAAUCGGAUUUGGCUGAAUAUUUUAGCCGCCCCAGUCAGUUUAUGACUGGGGCGUUUUUUA